UGUACGUCUCUGUGCUGAGAAACGAGUACAUCUCCAUAGCGUUCGACUACUUCUCUGAUCCUACGGUAGAGCUUGCCACGUUCAUUGCAGGCAAUGGCGUUGAUGGAGUCAUCACGGAGUUCCCUGCCACCGCCACCAGAUACUUGAGUAAGUUCUAAACCUCUACAAAGAUCAUGAAACAACAAUCAAGACAAGGCUGGUAAUAUAUAUAUAUUUGAUGCAAAUGCAGGGAGUCCAUGCUCAGAUUUGAACAAAGACCAGCCCUACGCCAUCUUACCUGCAGAGGCUGGAGCUCUACUCUCCGUGGCAGCCAAGGAAGCACAGCCACCAGCUAUUGCCCCAAGCCCGCCUCUUGACGCUAAGGACGUGAUUGAUCCGCCUCUACCUCCUGUUGCAAACAUUGGUUCCUCUGAUGGAGAAGCUCCGCCACAUGCCCCUCCUCAUUCAGGCACCAUUGCCACAUCUGCUAAUCUUGGCCUUUCUUUGCUGGCAAUACUGGCCUUGGGAGUCCUCUUUGCUGUUGAAUAAAAGAUUGAUCAGACAAUAUAACUCCAAAUGUUGAACAUGUUAUCCUGCAGCGUAUUCCAAACUGACGCAAUUUGAGCUAUUUAUGUUUUACUCACGUUAACGAAAAUAGAUCAAAAAGAAUCUUUGUGUAUUGUGGUCAUGGGAAUGUUUAAUUUCAGUAGAGAUUUUGAAUCUUGAUAAUCGCUCAUAAUCUGUUUGCGAA
rnacentral:lncRNA from 1 species